UAGAUAAGUCCAAAGAUGACUUAGUAGUCAUCUUAUUUUUCCAUUCCUAGAACUUUCAAGAAAGUUGGAGAAAGAAAGAAGGAAAAAAAUUAAGAGAGGAAAAAUUGGCAUAGCUAGGGAUUUCAUCCCUUGAAAUUUUGUUUCAAAAAUUAUUUCUUCUAGUAUUCCAAGCAAGUUGAAGGCCCUAAUCAACAUAGAGUGAUUGUUGGAACAAGAAGACUAUUCAUUCUUGCAAGGCACAAUUCUAGCCAAGUUGAAGAACUAAGUGGAAAAGGUAAGAUUUUGGAAAGGCCAAGAGUUAAGUGGGGUGACUAAGGAAGCGGACAAGGAUGCCCGGACGCGGGACAUAUGUGGGCGAGCCGACGUUGUUCGGUGAUAUGACUUUUAUUUUCUAUGUAUAUAAAAAAAAAUGUUUUAAAGGAAAGACAAGCAUGCAACAUCCGGCCUCAAAGGCACUCAUAUGUACAGGUUACUCUCUUAUCUCAUUAUAUGUUCUAUGAUUCUAUGAUAUGGUUGUUUCUACCUUAUGUUCUUUAUUAUGCUGAUUUUCAUGCCUUACAUACUCGGUACAUUACUCAUACUGACCCCCUUUUCUUUGGGGGGUUGCGUUUCAUGCCGCGCAGGUACACCCAGACGAGUAAAAGCUAUUAUAAAAGAUGUUCCAGUGGGGUUAGCAACUCCACUUGUUCCUAGAGUGCGACCGAGUUAGAGUAUAUGCAAUAUGAUGUUUCGUUCAAAGUUAGAGACUUUGCAGACAGAGUCGUGAGUAUAGAGUGUCAGCUUUGUAAGUGGCGUCACCAGCCGAUAUGUUAUUAUGUCGUAUGUCACGAGUUUUAUGGGAUGAUAGAUUUUGAAAAUAAUAAUAAUUUGGGAAGCUUAAUUAUAUAUAUUUUUUUAUUUCUUAUUGAUGUAAAAGUCUAAGGAGAUUAAGUAUGUACUAUGAAGCAGCGGGUUCGCUCGGCUCCAAGCAUGGGGUCGGGUGCCCAUCACACCCUAUUAAUAUCAGGGUAUG